GAACGCUGGCGGCGUGCUUAACACAUGCAAGUCGAACGAUGAAGAAGAGAACCGAAGCUUCGGCCGAAGUUCACUUCGGAUUAGUGGCAGACGGGUGAGUAACGCGUGAGCAACCUACCUCUUACAAAGGGAUAGCCAUGGGAAACCGUGAUUAAUACCAUAUGACACAUUCAUAAGGCAUCUUAAGAAUGUUAAAGCUACGGCGGUAAGAGAUGGGCUCGCGUCCCAUUAGCUAGUUGGUGAGGUAACGGCCCACCAAGGCGACGAUGGGUAACCGGCCUGAGAGGGUGAACGGUCACAUUGGAACUGAGACACGGUCCAAACUCCUACGGGAGGCAGCAGUGGGGAAUAUUGCACAAUGGAGGAAACUCUGAUGCAGCGACGCCGCGUGAGCGAUGAAGGAAUUCGUUUCGUAAAGCUCUGUUCUAUGGGAAGAAAAGGACUGUACCAUAGGAGCAAGCCCCGGCUAAAUACGUGCCAGCCGCCGCGGUAA
rnacentral:rRNA from 2 species